rnacentral:rRNA from 1 species
AUUGAACGCUGGCGGCAUGCCUUACACAUGCAAGUCGAACGGCAGCACGGCUGCUUGCCUGUCGGCGCGAGUGGCACGCGGGUGUGAAGUACAUCGACAUACGUACUCGAGGGGGGGAUAACCCCGCGAGAGGCGCAUUUAUACCGCAUGCGCUCUACGGGAGAAAGGGGGGGAGCUUGGCCCCGCGCGCUUGGAGUUUCGGAGGUCGGAUUAGCUAGUUGGUGGGGUAAAGGCCUACCAAGGCGACGAUCUGUAGCUGGUCUGAGAGGAUGAUCAGCCACACUGGGACUGAGACACGGCCCAGACUCCUACGGGAGGCAGCAGUGGGGAAUUUUGGACAAUGGGGGAAAGCCUGAUCCAGCAAUGCCGCGUGAGUGAAGAAGGCCUUCGGGUUGUAAAGCUCUUUUGGCCGGAAAGAAACGCUUGGCCCUAAUACAGUCGGGGGAUGACGGUACCGGAAGAAUAAGCACCGGCUAACUACGUG